GACGGAGGAGGCAAGCAUUGUCCGGAAUUAUUGGGCGUAAAGAACACGUAGGCGGUUUAUCAAGUCAUAUGUGAAAACCUUAGGCUUAACUUAAGGAUUGCAAAUGAUACUGGUAAGCUAGAGUACAGUAGAGGAAAGUGGAAUUCCUGGUGUAGCGGUGAAAUGCGCAGAUAUCAGGAAGAACACCAGUGGCGAAAGCGGCUUUCUGGACUGUUACUGACGCUGAGGUGUGAAAGCUAGGGGAGCGAACAGG
rnacentral:rRNA from 2 species